rnacentral:rRNA from 1 species
GCAUCGAUGAAGAACGCAGCGAAAUGCGAUAAGUAAUGUGAAUUGCAGAAUUCAGUGAAUCAUCGAAUCUUUGAACGCACAUUGCGCCCCCUGGUAUUCCGGGGGGCAUGCCUGUUCGAGCGUCAUUUCACCACUCAAGCCUCGCUUGGUAUUGGGCAACGCGGUCCGCCGCGUGCCUCAAAUCGACCGGCUGGGUCUUCUGUCCCCUAAGCGUUGUGGAAACUAUUCGCUAAAGGGUGUUCGGGAGGCUACGCCGUAAAACAACCCCAUUUCUAAGGUUGACCUCGGAUCAGGUAGGGAUACCCGCUGAACUUAAGCAUAUCAAUAAGCGGAGG